rnacentral:tRNA from 1 species
CGCUACAUGCGUUGGACCUGGUCAGACUCAUAACCUGAAGGUCGUAGGUUCAAAUCCUACCCCCGCAACCA